rnacentral:tRNA from 1 species
GGAUUGUAGCUCAAUGGUAGAGCACUUACCUAGCACGGGUGAGGCCCUAGGUUCGAUCCUCAGCACCA